rnacentral:rRNA from 1 species
UACGGAGGGUGCAAGCGUUGUCCGGAAUUACUGGGCGUAAAGCGCACGUAGGCGGCUUUGUAAGUUAGAGGUGAAAGCCCGGGGCUCAACUCCGGAAUUGCCUUUAAGACUGCAUCGCUAGAAUUGUGGAGAGGUAAGUGGAAUUCCGAGUGUAGAGGUGAAAUUCGUAGAUAUUCGGAAGAACACCAGUGGCGAAGGCGACUUACUGGACACAUAUUGACGCUGAGGUGCGAAAGCGUGGGGAGCAAACAGG